rnacentral:lncRNA from 1 species
GGAGAGAGAUUCGAUCUAAUCAGUUCAAGUCAAAAAUACAGGCAUUUGUGGGUUCAAUGUGAAAAUUGUUAUGGAUUAAAUUAUAAGAUGUUGAGGUCGCAAGUCUGUCUAUGAUUAAGAGUCUAGGUGGUGUUGAAGCCCCCUACUUAAGAUUCAAUUCAUAAGGCUAAUUUUAUGUUGGUCUUACCGUCUAGCCGUUGGUACUCCGCAUCUUCACGGAGAAUUCAAUUUCACCGGGUCCAUGUCGGAGACAGCGGGGCAGUCGUUACACCAUUCGUGCAGGUCGCUACUUAUGCGACAUAAUAAAAGCAGAUCUUGGUCCAUGGAGUCCCACUGCCGCCGUUUACCGGGGCUUCCAUUCAAAGCUUAUAACACUUCUCCUUNNNNNNNNNNNNNNNNNNNNNNNNNNNNNNNNNNNNNNNNNNNNNNNNNNNNNNNNNNNNNNNNNNNNNNNNNNNNNNNNNNNNNNNNNNNNNNNNNNNNAGGUUCGAAAUGGUGAAUUGAGGUAGAGUAGACCGAUGAUCCUGUAGUCAUUUGGCCGGCUAUUGAAAGAAAAAGCUUGCAUCUGCUCCCCCAGAACCUGAAGUAGUAGGAUUUAUUCUCAUAAUAAUAAUAAAUAAAGUAAAAUAUGUCGAAAUUUUUUUUGCGAAAAUGCAAUAAGAAGAUAACUUUUCAAUACAAAAAUAUAUCUCAAUACGGGUGGGAUUAUAGAAAGACUUUUGAAAUGACUUCUCUGUCGGUUACGACUAAAAGGCCUUGCAUACUCGAGAAGCUGAUUCAAUAGCAACCACUCUUACUAAUGAUAUUCUGGACUUUCCAUUUCCAGUCUCUUAGUUAUUUAUUUUAUAUUGUAUUGAUUUUAAGGAAAAAUAGGAAAUUCUUUCUUUUUCUAACAGAACAAAAAAGAAAAAAAUCCGAAGUCUUUUUCUUGCUUCGACCCGUGGAAAGAUAUACUCUGGAGUCCCCCACUAUAUAGAAUUUUGGGGUAUGAAAGAAAUUUUUGGUAAUGAAAGACUCUUAGUAUAACUGAAUUUUAAUUUCUGAAAUUCUUUUAUGUUUCUUUCUCUAGAUAUACUCGAAAAAAGUACUAGAUUGUAUAAUGAUGAUCUUAUAGAUCUAAAAAGUAGUAAAUUAAUAAAAAGAUUGGUUGCAUUAUUGGAUUUCCCUUCAUUUUGGCUUGGAAGAAGAAAUAUCAUAUAGAGAUGGUAUCGCCUUACUAUUAAUUCUCUGACCCAGACUUGGUAUCCAUGUUAGGAAGUAAAAAAGACUCCUUGCCGCUGCACUAAUUUCGUUCAUCAGUCAGAAAAAGUCGGGAUUCGAUCUUUUUCUUGGUAGGUGUGAUCCGUUGGACAUAGAUCCAAUUUUUCCAUUUUUUAGCGAAAGUCAAGCGGAACUAGAACAUUUCUUUGAUUGAUAGGGCAGAUAGGAAGCAGGCACGCAAACCAAGUUAUAGGUUUGGAAGUUUGAAUUCGGAAAGGUAGUCACGUCGUGAUUGUCCGGGCGAGGUAUAAAGCCAAAACAAGUUGGAGUUCCCCGCCAUCACCUCGCCUAGAUCCGGGCGUUCUUAUGAAGAAACACUUAUGAUACUAGAACUCAUGCCUUAUCGAGCAUGUUAUCCCAUUUUUAAAUUGGUUUAUUCUUAUCCCCCAAGGCAUACCACAAGAGAGAAUCCCAGCCAGUGCUCUCAGAUCGAUAGGCUUAUCAAAAAAAGUAGGAGAUUGAUUGGCGCCCAACGGGGGAUUGGAUGGCGCGUGGAGCGCGAGCCCUCGACAAUGCCAGAACCACGAGUGGGGAAUGAUGGUUAGGCCAAGGCCAAGAGAACCCUUCAGAUACCGCAAGAUGCGUGCCUGGAGAUGUACGGAUUAGCCGCCAAAGGUAUCUAUCCCGCAGUAGAUCCUUUAGAUUCAACAUCAACUAUGCUCCAACCUCGGAUUGUUGGUUAGGAACAUUAUGAAACUGCGCAGAUAAAGAAAAGAGUUCGAGCUUUAAAAUUCUAGAACCCCCCCCAAAAAAAAAAAGAUCUACUCCUUACUCAAGUUCCCAGCGUCCCAACCAAAACUUGCCGCUUCUAUCAAUCAAUGCACACAAAUAUGCUUGCUUGGACAGACACAAACAGUCGCAGUGAAAGCAGUUUUCCGUUGGAUAGGAAAGAAAACUUGGAAGAGUUCCCUUUCAGUGGAAGAGCUAAAUGGCUUGACUUCCUUUCCCAACCCACGCCUCGGACGGAACUCUAUUUAUCAACUGAUGGAGGGGCAAGCCCCACAAACCUCCAUUCGACUUCCGGAUAAAAGGCAACCCCCGAGAUCCACACAUAGAUAGCGUUUACAAUGAGAAUUCGGAUUGUUCCAACUCAUAGGGAUAAAAAUGGUCCCGGACCGACCUACCGUUAAAUAAGCUCUCCACCCUUCUUAAAAAGAAAGAAGCUACUUGAAGGUAGGACUGUAAGAGGGAUGAUACCUACCUAUAAAAAUCCUCACUAGAUGAGGGCAACGAUAGUUGG